rnacentral:lncRNA from 1 species
AUGUCAAUUGACAAUAAAUCGGUGCAAAAAAGCAGCACUGCCAGCAGGGCGGCCGUUCAUUCUUGCUGUUGGCUCAAGGCCAUGGAGCGGGAGGCGGAACCAGCAGGGCAGGGUGAGCAGGUGCGGCCGCAGCCCCGGGAACAGAGCCCCGAACCCGGUGGCCUCGGUGCAGAAAUUCCCAAACGCCCCCGCGGCCAGGACCCCGUGUGGGUGGAAGCCGAAAAUGGAAUUUCUGCGGGGGUUCAGCGGUGUUGUGCGGAUCAGCUGCGAACGGAACAUUCGGGAAGCUUUUACGAACUUUUUUCGAUUCUUUUUCCCUUUUUUUUCUAUUUUUUCUCUUUUUUUGUUCUAUUUUUUCCCGAUUUUUUUCUGUUUUUUCAAAUUUUUUUCCUAUUUUUUCGAUUUUUCCCAAAUUUUUUUUAUUUUAUCCCCCAUUUUUUCCUAUUUUUUCAGAUUUUUUUCCUUUUUUUAUAUUUUUUCUAAUUUUUUUCAAUUUUUUCUAAUUUUUUUCUAUUUUUUUGAUUUUUCCCCAAUCUUUAAAAUUUUUCCCCCAUUUUUUCCGAUUUUUUCCAGUUAUAUCCUUUUUUCUAUUUUUUCAAUUUUUGAAAUAUUUUUCGAUUUUUUUGAAUUUUUUCGAUUUUUUCUUUUUUUUUAAAUUUUCAAUUUUCUCUUUUUUUCUCAUUUUUUAAUAUUUUUAAAUUUUUUUUAUUUUUAAAAAUAUUUUUUUAGCUUUUUUCCCCAAUAUUUUUAGAUUUUUCCUCAAUUUUUCUCCUCUUUUUAGACUUUUUUUUCUGAUUUUUUUGUCAAUUUUUUUCCGAUUUUUUUCCUUUUCCCAAUUUUUUCAGAUUCUUUUCUAAUUUUUUUCGAUGUUUUCCCAAUUUUUCCAGAUUUUUUCUAAUUUUUUUUCGAUUUAUUUCCCAAAUUUUUUUCGAUUUUUUUUUCUAUUUUUUUCUCUUUUCCCCCAUUUUUUUCCCAAAUUUUUUUCGAUUUUUUCCCCAAUUUUUUUGGAUUUUCUUUCCAUAUUUUCUAUUUUUACCCGAUUUUUCCCGAUUUUUAAUUUUUUCCCUUUUUUCUAUUUUUUUCCUAUUUUUUCCCCAAUUUUCUCGAUUAUUUUCCCCUAUUUUUUCGAUUUUUUCCCCCAUUAUUUUCGAUUUUUUUUUUCUAAUUUUUUUUCGAUUUUUCCCAAUUUUUUUCGAUUUUUUCCCCAAUUUUUUGCGAUUUUUUUCUAAUUUUUUUCGAUUUUUUCCCAUUUUUUUUAUUUUAUCCCCCAUUUUUUCCUUUUUCCCCCAUUUUUUUCCUUUUUUCUAUUUUUUUCUCAUUUUUUUUCUAGAUUCUUUCGAUUUUUUCCCUCAUUUUUAAAUUUUUUUCCCCCAAUUUUUUCCUAUUUUUUUUCCGAUUUUUCCCCUUUUUUCUAUUUUUUCUCUUUUUUUUCUCUUUUUUUUCCCAAUGUUUUUUCCCAUUUUUUCUAUUUUUUUCUCAUUUUUUUCCUUUUUUUAAAAAAAAAUUUCCUCCAUUUUUCCCAUUAUUUUUUAUUUUUCCCCUUUUUUCCUCAUUUUUUUCUAUUUUUUCCCAUUUUUAAAAUCUUUUUUCGAUUUUUUUCCCCAACACCCCCAAAACUGCACUCAGGGACCCCAAAAAUUCCCCAAACCCCCCCUGGACCCCCAAAAUCCCCCCAGGACCUCCCAAACCCCCCCAAAUCUCCACUCUACGACCCCAAAGCCCCCCCAAAUCCGCCCAGGACCCCCCAAAACUGCACUCAAGGACCACAACUCCCCCCCAAACUCCAUCAGAGACCCCCCCCACCCCUCAGGAUCCCCCAAAACCCUCCCAAAGAACCACCAGAGACCCCCAGAUCCCCACCCCAACCCCCCAAAAACCCCCCAGUUCCCCCCCAAAACUCCACCCAAAGACCCUCAAACCCCCCAAACCCCACUCAGAGACCCCCAAACUCACCAGGACCCCCCAAAACCCACCUAGAACUCCACUAAGAGACCCCAAACCCCCCCAAAAAGCCCCAAACCUCCCAAAUCCCUCUAGAACCCCCAAAAUUGCCCAAACCCCACUCAGAGACUCCCAAACUCCACCAGGACCCCCCAAAACACCCCCAGAACUCCACUUAGAGACCCCAAAGGCCCCCAAAUCCCCUCAAGACACCCCAAAAACUCCCUAAAACCCCACUGAGAGACCCCCAAACCCCCCCCAAAAUCCCUCAAGGACCCCCCAAAACCCCCCCAAAUCUCCACUCAAGGACCUCAAACCCCCCCAAACCCCAUCAGAGACCCCCAAACCCCUCAAGACCCCCCAAAACCCUCCCAAAGAACCACCAGAGACCCCCAAAUCCCCUCCCAAACCCCCCAAAAAACCCCCCAAACCCCCCCAGCUCCCCCCAAAACUCCACUCAAGGACCCCAAAACCCCCCCAAAAUCCCCCAGGAACCCCCCAAAACCCCCCCGAAACCCUCCCAAAAUCCCUCCAAACACCCAAAAACCCCCAAAAUCCCCCCAAACUCCUCAAAACCCCACAGAACUCCCCCAAAACCCCAGCCAAGAACCCCAAACCCCCUCAGACACCCCCAACCCCCCCCAGGCUCACCGAGACGGGGAAAUAAUCCCGGAAGUGACGCCAGACGGGCCAGGCCCGCACCCAGGCGCAAGGGCGCCCCCCGCGGCGGGGAGUGUCCCGGUCCGCCAGCAGCCAGAGCCCGUAAAGGAGCGCGGGCAACCAGAGCGGGCCCCGCAGCGCCAGCGCGAACAGAGCCGGCACAGCUGCCCUGGGGGACACGGCACACGGGGAGCUUGGGGGCUGGUUUUAGAAUUUUUGGGGAUUUUGGGGGAUUUUUGGGGGGAUUUUUUUAGAUUUUUUAGGGGAUUUGGGGGGUUUUUUGUGCAUUUUUGUGGGAUUUUGGGGAGAUUUUUUAUGAAUUUUUUACGGAAUUUUCGCGAUUUUUGAGGGAUUUUGGGGAAGGGUUUUUUAGAUUUUUUGAGGAAUUUGUUGGAAAUUAUUUUGAAAUUAUUUCGAAUAUUUUUGGAAUUUUGGAGGGAUUUUUUUUAAUUUUUGGGGGGAUAUUUUGGGAUUUUUAAGGGGAUUUUUUUGGGGGGGGGAUUUUUUUUAUUUUUGGGGAAUUUUGAGGGAUUUUUUGGGGUUUUUUUUGAGAUUUUAUUUUUAUUUUUUUAGACAUUUUUUGCAAAAUUUUGGGGAAUUUUUUGCGAUUUUUGUGGGGAUUUUUGUUGGAGUGGCUUAGAAUUUUUUUAUUUUUCUAGAAUUUUGUUGAAUUUCUUUUCGAUUUUUUUAAAAAAAAUCAGCCUUUUGGGGAUUUUUUGGGGGGGGAAUUUUUUUUUUUUAAAGGAAUUUUUUUUGGCAUUGUUGGGGAUUUUUUGGCGAUUUUUUGGAAAUCUUUAAUGAUUUUUUUGCAGUUUUGGAAUUUUAUAGGAAUUUUUUAGGAAUUUUUUUUGGAGGAUUUUUUUGGGAUUUUUUAAAGGAACUUUUGGGGAUUUUUUUAGGAUUUUUAGGGGUUUUGGGGGAUUUUUUUUGAGAAAUUUUUGGGAUUUUUGGGGGAUUUGGGGGGAUUUUUGGGAUUUUUUUGGGAUUUUUUAGGGUUGUUUUUAGAAAUUUUGGGGAUAUUUUUGAGAUUUUUUUUGGAGGGUGGGUUAGAUUUUUUGUGAUUUUUUUAGAUUUUUGGGGGGGUUUUAGUAAUUUUUGGGGAUUUUUUGGGUUUUAUGGGAUGGGAAACCUCAACCCUGCCCUAAAAAAUUUGGCAUAAAAAGGGAGGGGAACAAAGGGGGUUUGGGAGGGGGUUUAGGGUAGCCUGGGGGAAUUUUGGGGACCCCUCCCCCCCAAUUCCCUCCCUCAGAACCCCCCAAAUCCUCAAAAAAUUCCCCAAAAAUCCCCGAAAUGCCCCCAAAUAUCCCUUAAACCCCCCCAAAAAAUCCCCAAAUCCCCCAAAAAUUCCCUCAAACCCCACAAAAUUCCCCCAAAUUCAGACCCCAAAUCCCCCCCAAAUUUUCCAUCCCCCCAAAAAUCCCAAAAGCCCCUCAAAAUUCCCCUAAAACCCCCAAAAAAUCCCCAAAAUUCCCCCAAAUCUCCCCGAAAUUUCCCAAAAUUCCCCUAAAACCCAAAAAAUCCCUCAAAUUUCCCCUAAGACCCCCCAAAUCCAGACCCAAAAGCCCCCCCCAGAUCUUCAGACCCCCCCAAACCCCAAAAUCCCUUCCAAAAAACCCAAAUUCUCCCCAAACCCCGCCAAAAUUCCCCAAAAUCCCCUCACAAUUCCCCAAAGCACUCCAAAAUCCCCCCAAAUUCAGACUCCAGAAUCUGAAAAUCCCAAAAUCCCCCCAAAAUUCCCCUAAAACCUCCAAAAAAAUCCCCCCAAAAUCCCCUAACCCCCCCAAAACUCCCCCAAAAUCCCCAAAAUUCCCCUUAGACCCCCCAAAUCCAGAACCCAAAGCCCCCUCCAAAAUCUUCAGACCCCCCCAAACCCCAAAAUCCCUCCAAAAAUUCCCCUAAAAUCCCCAGCUCCUCCAAAAAUCCCCAAAAUAACCAAAAUCCCCCCAAAAUUCCCCUAAAACCCCCCAAAAAUCCCCAAAAUCCCCCAAAUCCAGACCCUAAAGGACCCCCCAAAUCUUCAGACCCCCCCAAACCCAAAAAUCCACCCCAAAAAAGCCCAAAAUUUCCCCAAAAAAUCCCCAAAUCCCCCCAAAAAUCCCCAAAUUCACCUAAAACCCCCUAAAAUCCCCCUAAACCCCCCCAAAAAAGUCCCCAAAAUUCCCCUAAACCCCCCAAACCCCCCCAAAAUUUGAAUUUUCGGAUGGAGGGGAGCGCUCAGCGCUGCCUUAAAAAACUUUGGGGGGCACAAAGGGGGGUGGGGGAUUUUGGGGGAGCCCGGGGGGGCUUUGGGGGACCCCUUCCCACAUUUUUGGGGGGCUCAGCGAGCAGCAGGAAGGAGCAGACCCACUGCAGCACGGCCAGGGUCUGCAGGCGGCGCCGCAGGGGAACGCGCAGGGGGCGAAGCGAGGCAGCGGCAUUUUGGGGAGGGGGCUUGGGGGGGGUUGGAGGGGUCUUUGAGGGGUUUGGGGGGUUUAGAGGGGAUUUGGGGGGAUUUGGGGGGAUUUGGGGGGUCUUUGAGGGGAUUUAAAGGGUUUAGAGGGGAGUUGGGAGGGGUCUUGAGGGGGAUUUGGGGGGUCCUGCGGGGGUUUAAGGGGGUUUUGGGGGGGAUGUUGGGGGGUCCUGAGAGGGUUUGGGGGGGAUUUGCGGGCGGUUUAGGGGGACUUUAAGGGGGAUUUGGGGGGUCCUGAGGA